AAAAUAGAGUUAGAAAAAAAGAAUCGCAAAGUGAAAAGAGCGAAUAAAAGAAAAAAAAGAAAAAUUAGAUCAAAGCAAAAGAACAAGCUGCCAGAACUACGCAUGACCUGAUUCUCCUCUCUCGGGGGUGAGAUACGUAGGCUGCCCUACUAAGGGCUCGGUCUAACCAAAUAAACAAUUUAGAAUCACCCAGUCAAAAGAAACUAGGGCAUGAGUUAAUCCUCAUUGUUUGAGUCAAUUCCAAAAGUUGUAAGUCCUAACCCACUUUAAGUGUCGUUUGGGCCUCACACCAUCCUUUUUUUCUAACCCUAUCC
rnacentral:lncRNA from 1 species